AUUGAACGCUGGCGGCAUGCUUUACACACGCAAGUCGAACGGUAACAGGCCUUCGGGUGCUGACGAGUGGCGCACGGGUGAGUAAUGCAUCGGAACGUACCCAGAGGUGGGGGAUAACGCAGCGAAAGCUGUGCUAAUACCGCAUGUGAUCUGAGGAUGAAAGCGGGGGACCGAGCAGCAAUGUUUGGCCUCGCGCCUUUGGAGCGGCCGAUGUCGGAUUAGCUAGUUGGUGGGGUAAAGGCCUACCAAGGCGACGAUCCGUAGCUGGUCUGAGAGGACGACCAGCCACACUGGGACUGAGACACGGCCCAGACUCCUACGGGAGGCAGCAGUGGGGAAUUUUGGACAAUGGGCGCAAGCCUGAUCCAGCAAUGCCGCGUGCGGGAAGAAGGCCUUCGGGUUGUAAACCGCUUUUGGCAGGAACGAAACGGUGUCCGCUAAUACCGGGCGCUAAUGACGGUACCUGCAGAAUAAGCACCGGCUAACUACGUG
rnacentral:rRNA from 1 species